GACGAACGCUGGCGGCGUGCUUAACACAUGCCAGUCGAACGGAAAGGCUCUGCUUGCAGGGUGCUCGAGUGGCGAACGGGUGAGUAACACGUGGGUGAUCUGCCCCUUACUUUGGGAUAAGCCUGGGAAACUGGGUCUAAUACUGGAUAGGACCAUGCUGUAGGUGGUGUGGUGGAAAGAUUAGUUUCGGUAAGGGAUGAGCUCGCGGCCUAUCAGCUUGUUGGUGGGGUAAUGGCCUACCAAGGCGUCGACGGGUAGCCGACCUGAGAGGGUGGACGGCCACAUUGGGACUGAGAUACGGCCCAGACUCCUACGGGAGGCAGCAGUGGGGAAUAUUGCACAAUGGGCGCAAGCCUGAUGCAGCGACGCCGCGUGGGGGAUGACGGCCUUCGGGUUGUAAACUCCUUUCAGCCAUGACGAAGCCCUUGUGGUGACGGUAGUGGUAGAAGAAGCACCGGCUAACUACGUG
rnacentral:rRNA from 1 species